rnacentral:rRNA from 1 species
AACGUAGGAGACAAACGUUAUCCGGAGUUACUGGGCGUAAAGGGCGUGCAGGUGGUCUGUUAAGUCUGGCGUGAAAGCUCUCGGCUAAACCGGGAGAGGUCGUUGGAUACUGGCGGACUAGAGGACGGUAGAGGCGUGUGGAAUUCCGGGUGUAGUGGUGAAAUGCGCAGAUAUCGGGAGGAACACCAGUAGCGAAGGCGACACUCUGGGCCGGUACUGACGCUGAGGAGCGAAAGCGUGGGGAGCA